rnacentral:rRNA from 1 species
CACGUAGGGUGCGAGCGUUGUCCGGAAUUAUUGGGCGUAAAGAGCUCGUAGGCGGUGUGUCGCGUCGGCCGUGAAAACCUGUGGCUUAACUAUGGGCUUGCGGUCGAUACGGGCAUCACUGGAGUUCGGCAGGGGAGACUGGAAUUCCUGGUGUAGCGGUGAAAUGCGCAGAUAUCAGGAGGAACACCGGUGGCGAAGGCGGGUCUCUGGGCAGUUACUGACGCUGAGGAGCGAAAGCGUGGGGAGCGAACAGG